rnacentral:rRNA from 1 species
AACGAACGCUGGCGGCAUGCCUAACACAUGCAAGUCGAACGAGACCUUCGGGUCUAGUGGCGCACGGGUGCGUAACGCGUGGGAACCUGCCCUGAGGUUCGGAAUAACAGUUAGAAAUGACUGCUAAUACCGGAUAAUGUCUUCGGACCAAAGAUUUAUUGCCUUGGGAUGGGCCCGCGUAGGAUUAGCUAGUCGGUGGG